GGUUUCGUGGUGUAGUGGUUAUCACGUGACGUUCACAUUGUGUGGAUUAAAACUCCUGCGACUUGUUCGUAGCGGUCCGUCAAGGUCGCCGGUUCGAUCCCGGCCGAAAUCA